AGAGUUUGAUCCUGGCUCAGGAUGAACGCUGGCGGCGUGCUUAACACAUGCAAGUCGAACGAACCUUCGGGUUAGUGGCGGACGGGUGAGUAACGCGUGAGAAUCUGCCCUCAGGAGGGGGAUAACGGCUGGAAACGGCCGCUAAUACCCCAUAUGCCGCGAGGUGAAAUGAAUUUCGCCUGAGGAUGAGCUCGCGUCUGAUUAGCUAGUUGGUGUAGGUAAUGGCUCACCAAGGCGUCGAUCAGUAGCUGGUCUGAGAGGAUGAUCAGCCACACUGGGACUGAGACACGGCCCAGACUCCUACGGGAGGCAGCAGUGGGGAAUUUUCCGCAAUGGGCGAAAGCCUGACGGAGCAACGCCGCGUGAGGGAUGAAGGCCUCUGGGCUGUAAACCUCUUUUCUCAAGGAAGAAGAUCUGACGGUACUUGAGGAAUAAGCCACGGCUAAUUCCGUGCCAGCAGCCGCGGUAAUACGGGAGUGGCAAGCGUUAUCCGGAAUUAUUGGGCGUAAAGCGUCCGCAGGCGGCCCUUCAAGUCUGCUGUUAAAACGUGGAGCUUAACUCCAUCAUGGCAGUGGAAACUGUUGGGCUUGAGUGUGGUAGGGGCAGAGGGAAUUCCCGGUGUAGCGGUGAAAUGCGUAGAUAUCGGGAAGAACACCAGUGGCGAAGGCGCUCUGCUGGGCCAUAACUGACGCUCAUGGACGAAAGCCAGGGGAGCGAAAGGGAUUAGAUACCCCUGUAGUCCUGGCCGUAAACGAUGAACACUAGGUGUCGGGGGAAUCGACCCCCUCGGUGUCGUAGCCAACGCGUUAAGUGUUCCGCCUGGGGAGUACGCACGCAAGUGUGAAACUCAAAGGAAUUGACGGGGGCCCGCACAAGCGGUGGAGUAUGUGGUUUAAUUCGAUGCAACGCGAAGAACCUUACCAGGGUUUGACAUCCUGCGAAUCUCUUGGAAACGAGAGAGUGCCUUCGGGAACGCAGUGACAGGUGGUGCAUGGCUGUCGUCAGCUCGUGUCGUGAGAUGUUGGGUUAAGUCCCGCAACGAGCGCAACCCACGUCUUUAGUUGCCAGCAUUUAGUUGGGCACUCUAGAGAGACCGCCGGUGAUAAACCGGAGGAAGGUGUGGAUGACGUCAAGUCAUCAUGCCCCUUACAUCCUGGGCUACACACGUACUACAAUGCUACGGACAAAGGGCAGCAAGUUCGCGAGGACAAGCAAAUCCCAUAAACCGUGGCUCAGUUCAGAUCGUAGGCCGCAACUCGCCUACGUGAAGGCGGAAUCGCUAGUAAUCGCAGGUCAGCAUACUGCGGUGAAUACGUUCCCGGGCCUUGUACACACCGCCCGUCACACCAUGGAAGUUGGCCACGCCCGAAGCCGUUACUCCAACCCUUGUGGAGGAGGACGUCGAAGGUGGGGCUGAUGACUGGGGUGAAGUCGUAACAAGGUAACC
rnacentral:rRNA from 1 species